CUACGGAGGGUGCAAGCGUUACUCGGAAUCACUGGGCGUAAAGCGCGCGCAGGCGGGCUGAUAAGUUGGAUGUGAAAGCCUACGGCUCAACCGUAGAACUGCAUCCAAAACUGUCAGUCUAGAGUGUGGGAGAGGAAGAUGGAAUUAGUUGUGUAGGGGUAAAAUCCGUAGAGAUAACUAGGAAUACCAAAAGCGAAGGCAAUCUUCUGGAACACUACUGACGCUGAGGCGCGAAGGCGUGGGGAGCAAACAGGAUUAGAAACCCGGGUAGUCC
rnacentral:rRNA from 1 species